ensembl:lncRNA
AUGGGAACACUACCAACUGAGAUUAGACGGCUUUUGGAUGACUGUGAGCUGUUUGUAUCAGAGGUCCUUCAAGACGAGGUGCUCGGGGGAAAGGCCCAAGAGACACGAAACGUCUUACUGAACAACUUCAGGAUUGUCCAUAUCAAGUGGGUCUCUACACUCAACAACAAACAAUUUCACUGUAAAUUAAUGGUGGGUUACUGGCAGCAGGGACACCAGUAACCUACUUAUUUUACGGUACGCUUUAUUACCGACACUUUUUUAAUUGUCGACUCCUCCCUGCACACGGUAGUUCUCACGCAGACACGUGAGAGCACACGCAGGUCAGCACGCUUUUACCAGCGGACAGAGAGCGCGCGUCUCAUGAAGGUAUAUUUGUGUCUUUAUGCAAAGAAAAAACUGUCUUGAGAGGAAAUCUCUUCUAUUGUAAUAAAAAAAUGGUUUGUAAGUAAAAAUAUGAUCUGAGAAUUGGUUUUGCUUAGGAAACUGGAAUAUCUGACAGCAAAAUAAAAAUAUUUAGCCCUCAAAAGAUUUUUUUUGCUAUCUAAAAAGCCCGUUGAGCGAUUUGAGUUUGGACGUAGUGGGCGGGGCCGCUGAAUGAGCCACGAGUUUCUAUUGGUGGGUUUGAAUUGGCACUCGGAAUCUGCUUCUAGCAUCAUUAAACACUUAACGGGAGGUUGCUGUUGGAUGUAAGUGGACCUUGUAUUUUGUCAAAAUUAUUUUACAUGUAGCAGCAAUUUACUUUCAUGUUGUUAGUAUAAUAAAGACACAAAUUCACAGCGUCACCCAUCGUCGGCAGGUCCAAAGGGGAGCGCUGAGCUAACACGUGACAAACAAGUGAGCUAACGUUAAGAUACAUUGAUGGUUUAAAAGUAAAAGUUUCUCUUAACAGAAUUCAGAGCCCAACACUUUAACCAAGAUGCUUUUUCCGCUUGUUUAAAUAAGAGUAUUAACUAUUAAUAGUAACAUUAAAGUUGACUACUAAUAAUAGCACUAACGUAGCGUUAACUUGCUGUGCUGUUAGCUAACGUUAGCUAAGCUUAGCUCAUGUCACAGGGUUAGCUCCAUCAGGAUUAGUAAUGUUAACCCAAUGUGACGAAACAGACCAUGUGAAACGUUAUUUUAAGAUUUUAACAGUCUAAUAAUAAUGAAGACAAAAAAGAAUUGGUAUGAGAAGCUAACGUUACCUGUAGAGAGAGGUCCUCCGUUGAACACAUGAAAGGUGCUCAGGAUGAACUGAGGUUACGCGGUCUGACGUCACGUGUUGUCACUCAAAAAUGACUUUUAAGCAAUGAACAGUUUCAUUACAAACACAUUAACCUACAAUAUACAGUAGAUGACUGGUUUUAGGAUGCGUAUUUACACCACCACAAAAUAUACUGUAUCAGUAUGUUAAUACUGUUAAUUUACAUGCAAGGGAUGAACAUUUGACUCUAUGUUACAGCUAUUAUAAAAUACUGUAGGAUACCGAUAGAGAUCUACUGUAAAUGGACUACAGAAAGUACCUACAGAAGCGGUGUCACAUCAGUGUUUGGUAAAUUGUAUAUUCACAGCACCAUUGUAUCCCUUUUUCUGUUAAUAUCAAACAACAACCUUCAUUUCUGCUGUAAUUACUCUAAACCCAGUUGGCCAAAUGAACUAAUUGGGUUUAAUGGUGUCACUUUCAAGACUUCACGCUCAUUCUUAUUUAUUGUUGUUAAAAGCAUUUCAAUAUCUCUGUUUUUAUCAGGAUUAUUAAAUGCUAAUAUGGUAAAUGGUAAUGGUAAAUGGACUGUACUUGUAUAACGCUUUUCUAGUCUUCUGACCACUCAAAGCGCUUUAACACCACAUGACAUCAUUCACCCAUUCACACCCAUCACACACUGAUGACAGGAGAACAUACACAGUGACACCUGCCAUCAGUAACUACCAUUCACACACUGUAGUCGCAGCUACAGGAGCAAUGUUGGGUUAAGUGUCUUGCCCAAGGACACAACGACAUGCGGGUUAACCGGGCCUGGGAUCGAACCGACAACCCUCUGAUUAGAGGACGACCGUGCUCCCCACUCACCCACGGUCGCCCUUGAAAUAAUGAAAUAUAUGAAAUAAUAUCACAUUAGCAUUUAAUAAUCUUGAUUAGAUGAUUAUAUUAUGAACAGUGUAUGAACCUCUCUAAAAAAAUUGUCACACACAAAGUCACAUGCACACUCCGGAAACGGUUUCCUCUUCCGCUAGAUACAAGCGUGCUCGAGUACUGAAAACCUGUGGUUUUGUGGUCUUCUGUGCAAGAAAACGAUCGCUGACAUUUUUAAAGCGAUACUGAAGCUCAGUCAUUUGGCAAACGAAAGCACAGAAAGCUUUGCAAUAAAAAGAUAUUAAAACAUGAUUAUCCUAAUUUCUCUUUUUUUUCUUACAGACACCCUAAUGAAUUCCCCUUCCCCCCCAUGUAAGUCA